rnacentral:rRNA from 1 species
UACGGGAGGCAGCAGUGGGGAAUAUUGCACAAUGGGCGCAAGCCUGAUGCAGCCAUGCCGCGUGUGUGAAGAAGGCCUUUGGGUUGUAAAGCACUUUCAGUCAGGAGGAAAGGGUGUGAGUUAAUACCUCACAUCUGUGACGUUACUGACAGAAGAAGCACCGGCUAACUCCGUGCCAGCAGCCGCGGUAAUAC